ensembl:lncRNA novel transcript
GCCCAUCCCAAGAUGGCGGAGAUCCCCCUGUACUUUGUGGACUUGCAGGAUGACUUAGACGACUGUAAAUGGAUUUGAAGACUAUGGUACAGAUUGCGACAACAUGAGAGUAACGGCCUUCUUGGACAUUCCAGGCCAGGAUAACCUGCCUCCACUCACUCGCCUGGAGAAGUAUGCUUUCAGCGAGAACACCUUCAACCGGCAGAUUAUUGCCAGAGGGCUGCUUGAUAUCUUCCGGGACUUCGGUAACAAUGAAGAAGACUUCCUCACGGUAAUGGAGAUUGUAGUCAGAUUGUCAGAAGAUGCAGAGCCCACAGUGCGGACUGAGCUGAUGGAACAGAUUCCUCCUAUUGCCAUUUUUUUACAAGAAAACAGAUCAAAUUUUCCAGUGGUGCUCUCUGAAUAUCUCAUACCUAUUGUAGUGAGGUACCUCACAGAUCCAAACAAUCAGAUAAUCUGCAAAAUGGCUUCAAUGCUGAGUAAGAGUACCGUUGAACGCCUGCUACUCCCCCGAUUCUGUGAACUGUGUGGUGACAGGAAGCUCUUUCAAGUUCGGAAGGUUUGUGCUGCAAAUUUUGGUGAUAUUUGUCAUGCUGUUGGACAAGAAGCCACUGAGAAAUUUUUGAUCCCAAAGUUCUUUGAGCUCUGCUCUGAUGCUGUUUGGGGCAUGCGGAAAGCCUGUGCAGAAUGCUUCACGGCUGUGUCGCACAGCUCCUCCCCUGGGGUCCGCAGAACCCAGCUCUUCCCGCUCUUCAUCAGACUUGUCAGCGACCCCUGCCGAUGGGUGCACCAGGCUGCCUUCCAGUCCCUCGGCCCCUUCACUUCCACCUUUGCAAACCCCUCCAGGGCUGGCCUUUAUCUUCGAGAGGAUGGCGCCCUGAGCAUCUGGCCACUCACCCAGGAUUUGGACUCUGGUUUUGCCUCUGGCUCCCCUGCUCCCAGCAGUGGUGGUAACACUUCCCCUGCCAGGUAUGCUCUGGCUAGGGUCACCACCAGGACCCUCGAUGUACCUUAAGCACCCACCUAAAAUUUCAGCAAUUAUCUUGUCUCGAGUUUUAGUAGUGACCUUCUGGGCAAGAUGGAAUAUUAGAGCUUUAAUUAUGUAAAGAAGCAAAAAGUAAUUGCAAUAAUGAUUUUGAAACAUGACUACUGGGUUAUAAAUAAUGAAGCUACUAUGUCUCCUAAAUUUAGAUAAAAUAUUCAUUGAGAUUAGUGAUUAAAUAACCUAUAAAGAACAUUUUCUCUUACUUUUUGAUGAAUGAAGUUCUCUGGGUAAUUUACUUAGGGAAAAAUGUGAAGUCUCCCAAAUGUACUUUUUUGGAGGUUGGGUUACAUGUACAUAAAGGCGACACUCCUGACCAA